GGGGUAACCAAGGAGGAAUAGAUAGGAACACUUGUUUCAACUGUGGACAAUAUGGCCACUGGAGGAAUGAGUGUCCACAUCCCAGGAAACCCCAGGAAACCCCACACACCCCAACAACCCCACAAUUCUCAAAAUAUGCCCUGUAGGCAAGAACAACACCAGACCCACUCCCAACACCACUGGCCAGCAUAUCGCUUAGUUCAGGACUUUAGAGCCCUGAAUAGUUUAAUUGUGCCCAUUUCACCCAUUGUCCCUGAUGUGACAUCCCUCAUUACAGCCAUUCCACAUGAUGCCACUUGCUUCACUGUCAUUGAUUUAAGUAAUGCAUUUUUUUUCUAUACCUAUUGAUCAAGAGACACAGCUACUUAUGGUUUUUACUUUUUGAAGGCUGUCAGUUUACCUGGACACGCUUACCCAAGGCUAUGUGGAUUCCCCAGCUGUUUAUUCGUUGGUACUCCAAC